rnacentral:rRNA from 1 species
AUUGAACGCUGGCGGCAGGCUUAACACAUGCAAGUCGAGCGGGGGAAGGUAGCUUGCUACCGGACCUAGCGGCGGACGGGUGAGUAAUGCUUAGGAAUCUGCCUAUUAGUGGGGGACAACAUCUCGAAAGGGAUGCUGAUACCGCAUACGUCCUACGGGAGAAAGCAGGGGAUCUUCGGACCUUGCGCUAAUAGAUGAGCCUAAGUCGGAUUAGCUAGUUGGUGGGGUAAAGGCCUACCAAGGCGACGAUCUGUAGCGGGUCUGAGAGGAUGAUCCGCCUCACUGGGACGGAGACACGGCCCAGACUCCUACGGGAGGCAGCAGUGGGGAAUAUUGGACAAUGGGGGGAACCCUGAUCCAGCCAUGCCGCGUGUGUGAAGAAGGCCUUAUGGUUGUAGAGCACUUUAAGCGAGGAGGAGGCUACUCUAGUUAAUACCUAGGGAUAGUGGACGUUACUCGCAGAAUAAGCACCGGCUAACUCUGUGCCAGCCGCCGCCGUAA